CCCUGCCCUGCCCGUCCCCCGGGGCUCCGCGAGCCGUCACCGAGCGGAGCCUCGCUGCCUCCGCGGGGCGACUGCCCCGAAGACGCCGCCGCCUCCUCUUUCGGUGGGGAGAUACCGACCCCCGCUGCCCCGGGCACGCUCAGCGCUGCCGCGGGGCUCCGGGCAGACCCGGUGAAGGCAGGCGGUCACAUCUGGGCAGCCGCCAGCGCCGGAGAGGCCUCCGGAGCCGCUCUGCCGGUAACGCGGGCUCUGAGGGCAAAUCAACCCUGUUCUGUCAUCAGGUCCAGCUGAGAAUGGCUCAAGUAUUCUAACCAUGAAAAACAAGCAAAAGUACAUCAGUUGAGUAGGAAAUGUGUCUGUGACCACCUUUGCUCUGCAGUACUGACAGAGAGAAGGAAGAACCCUCCGGAUGUUGUAGCUCAUAGCAGGGAGGGCAGCUGCCUUCAAAUCCAUAUUCUAACUUGACUAGAUGAAAAAAUUUGCCUCAUCUCCCAUUCCAGACUGUCCUAGACAUGGACUUCAGCUUGCAAGUAGUUUGUCAUCCUGCAACAGACCUCCUCUUGCGAGCUGUACUCAGCACCCUAAGCAGCCAGAUAUAAGGCCCAUCACAGAACUUCCACAUCUGAAGCGGAGCAUGAAUUCCCUGCUUCUGGAGAGCCAACACCAUUCCUAGAGACAACAUCCAGAGAGAGAAAAACAUGGAAGAGAGGUGAUCCAGCAGCCAGCAGGCUUCGUGAUGGGAUGCGGAGGGCAGGGCAGGGUCCGGUAUCAGAAUAGGAAUCAAGGAUUUUUUCCUAGACUUAAGCAUUGGAAAGGCUGGAAUUCUAUUGUUGAAACUUUUGCUGUUCAUUCCCACUGCUUCCACACUACAACAUAGGAAA